GAGUGUGUAGCUCAAUUGGUUAGAGCGCAAGAUUGUGGAUCUUGAGGUUAUCGGUUCAAGCCCGAUCACACUCC
rnacentral:tRNA from 1 species